rnacentral:rRNA from 1 species
CCUGCCUUUCAGCGGGGACAACAGUUGGAAACGACUGCUAAUACCGCAUAAUGUUAUCGAGCGGCAUCGCUUGAUAACCAAAGCUUUAUGUGCUGAAAGAUGGGCUUACGGCGCAUUAGCUAGUUGGUGAGGUAAUGGCUCACCAAGGCGAUGAUGCGUAGCCGGACUGAGAGGUUGAACGGCCACAUUGGGACUGAGACACGGCCCAAACUCCUACGGGAGGCAGCAGUAGGGAAUAUUGCACAAUGGGGGAAACCCUGAUGCAGCGACGCCGCGUGAGUGAAGAAGUAUUUCGGUAUGUAAAGCUCUAUCAGCAAGGAAGAAAAUGACGGUACUUGACUAAGAAGCCCCGGCUAACUACGUG